UUCUACAUUAUAAAGCUUAUAGUAAAAUUAUAAUUAUGUUGGCUUGAAAGAGCCAACAUUCUGAUUCUUCUUAAUCUUCUUCCUCUUAUUAUUAUAUUGGAAAAUUUGUACCGUUCACAGGUCACACAUUUUUGACGUAGAGCCACGAAAUUCAGCACAGGUGUAGAUUCCAUACGGGAAUGGGGUGCUUGUGCUUUUGGGAAAUAUCAGAAUUAUGGUUGCUCCUUUUAUUUUUAGUCAUUAGGUCAUGCAAACCAAACCACAGGAUUCACAGACAUGAAAUUUAGUCAUUAUGUAGUAUGUGGGGAAUCUGGCAACACCCUAGCAACCUACUGGAUUAUCAACGUGACCUGCUAGCAACAACCUAGCAACUACCUGGGAUCAUAUAGACAACCUCCUAGAAACACCACAGCAACCACCUGGAACCCGAUAUCAGCCACCUAGCUACACCCUAGCAACCAGCUGGACCAUGAUAGCAACCAAUUGACACCACCAGCUGACGUUCCCUGGCAACCGACUCGCUAAAACCUUGCAACUAAAUGGGAUCAUAUUGAAACCUCCAAGAAACACCAUAGCAACCACCUGGGACCCCACAACAGGCACCUAGCAACAACCUAGCAACAUCCUAGCAUCCUAGCCUUUAGCCUUGUAACCUUUACACGCUUAACUGCAUAACAACGCAUAACAACCAAAUAGCAAGACCCUAGCGACCAACUGGGUUAGCUUAGAAACCUCCUAGCAACAUCUUAGUAACCACCUGGAAUAUCAUCGCAUUGUUUUAGCAUUUUAAUGCUAUAACCUUUAAACAUUUUUAAACGCUUUUGAUAUUUUAACUUUUACAUAUUUAAACAUUUAGCCUUUUAACCUUAACAUUUUAUAAUCAGUCACAAAACACUGUAAUAUCAUUUAACUCUUUUAGCAUGUUUAGCUGGCUCUGUCAAGCCAACAUCAAAGUUCAUUCAUGAACUUUAGCUUCCUAAUUAUCAUUAUAAACCGUAGCAUAUAGGAUAUAGUGUAGCUUAUAGAUGCGUACAGAGGGCCUAUAGAGUCUGCAUGAGAGCAAACUACACCACGUUGAAGAUGAUGAUCGGUAACCAUAGUAACUGAUCAGCAUCUUGGUGAGAGUGACAUCUGGUGGUAAGACCUGGGAUUGUCAAAUGUUACAGUGAGGUGCACUUUGUUCUGUGUUUUGUUUCUGGGUUACAUCUGGGAAAGAUUUAGAUUGAAUCACCAUAUAAAUUGCUCUUUUUCCCAUAGUGCAAAGUGUUGCUGAAAAUGUUGAACCUAGUGGUGAUACAAAGUCCCACUAUGGGGGGACAAGGUAAGACAGCUCCAGUGCAGUUUACAAAUAAAGCAACAGCGAGUAAAUCUACAGCUUGUGGAGAGUGGAUCCCUGAAUUUGGCUCAAAUUACAUACAAAAGGAUUUCGAUUACAAGGCAUAUCUUUGCAUAAGCCUCAAUUUGUUAAAAGAUGAGAAGGAAAUCAACACCAAAAAUUCACAUGAUAUGUGGACAACAAACAAAACAUGAACAAAAGAUUAUAAUCAUCUGAAGCACAGUGUUAAAUUCGAUUAGAAACUUCAAAGUAUGUAAAGAUGUAGAUGUAGCUUAUCAUCUUCUAAACAGUUAAAUGUUUUUGCACUAGCACACACAUUUACAUUUAUUUAUCAGAAUACAGAAUCACAGUCUUUCUAUGUCACUCUAACUGUGUAUUUGACUCCAGGGAAGGUCAUCAUCCUGUAUGAUACUGACUAUCUGUGUGAUUGGCGGCUGUCACAUCAUGACCCUGAGAUACCAACUUUUCCAGAUCCUCUUCUGGGCAAAAAGAUGAAGAAGGAAGGAAGGAGGACCUGGUUCAAUUUAUCCACCACAAUAGCAGGGUGAGGAUUGCUCAUAAACAAGUGCAAGUCUAUGGAGAGACGCAGUUCUACCCUGAAAAAAUUAACUAGCUCUUUUAUGCUAGACCGAUUUUUUUUUUUUUUUUAAACAAAAUUUGCCUUGUUACAGAUAUCAUACACUUGUGUUAAUAGCAAGAGAUGUAAAUGCUAAUAUACAUGCACUGAGUACAAACUGGUUGAGUCUAACUGCAAGAAACAUGGUCAAGCAGUGAGAUGUUGGCUAAUGGAAAUGCAUAGUGGGACAGGAAUGACCCAGCACCUGUCUGUCUACACCAAGUGUUUUACUACUACUGACACUUUCAAAUCUAUUAACAAUAGAAUAACUAUAAUAAUGUAAUAGCCUAAUAAUCAAUAAUAAUACAUAAAUCAGAAUAGAAUUUAAAUUGUUUUUAAUUCAUAUAACAGGAAUCAGCACUAACUAGAUUACGUACAAUCACAACAUAUAAGCAACAACAUAUUCAUUAUAAAUUGAUCAAGUAAUAUAAUGUAAGCUAAAGGUAACAGACACUUCAAACUAGCUUAAUUACAUCACGAUAAACAUGUCUUAAUGAACUGCACAUGACCUGCCAAAUAUUACACACAUUAGUGAAGAACUGAGUUUGAGUUGAAGAGAAGCUAAACAGCUAAACAUUCCUUGUUAUCAUGCUUGUUCCUUGUCAGUGAUUCUUAUAUGCAUAUGCUACACAGUAUGCAAGUUAGCAAAAAUCUUUGUUGAAGCUCUAAAAUCAGUUCCACUCAGUUGUGACAAUCUGGACCAUAGACACAUUAAUCUUAGGUCAAAGUAGCAUGUGGGUUUCAUACAGCAUAUCCAUGAUUUGACUUUUCCUACCUAACAUUCAUAAUGAAUAACAGAGAAGGAGUGUUAAUCUAGAGUUAGUAUCAAGUUGAUUUAUAUCACUUUUCACCUAUAAUCUCCCUGCUCAUUAUAGUUUAGAUUUAAUGUUUUUUUAAGGGUUUGAUUUCUUAAAUGGUUUUAGUUGUAUACCUGUUUAGUUGUAUAUUUCUGCUUCAACACUUAGGACUAAACACUAGCUUGACUUUUUGCCCCAAAGAGAAUUUUAAAUGUAAUCAAACUAUAAAAGAUCCAGAUUUAAAAUGAUGUUUUUACCAGGAUAUAAUUUAUACUAAUUUACCCAUGUGAACUGUGAAGUUUACAAUUUUUUAAAAAGGCAUACUAGAUGAACCACUGGCCAAAAUCAUCAUGCAGCAGGUGAUUCAUCUUUUUUGGUCCACCCCCACGACCCCUCUUUGUAGGACCAGAGAAUUUGUUAUAGAGAGUUUGCUAGUGUUAUCAGAUGCUUCGCAAAGUAACACGGUCCCAUAAAAAUGGCAACUAAAAACUGAAACACAAAUGCAGAUAAUAAUGGUAAAGUAAUAGUAAAAUUAACAAUAACAAUCCACAACAGCAUAAUUUGGUUUUUGUUUGUUAGUGUAAUUUAGAUAUGUGUGUGAGUGAAUUGUUUUAAUGAAAGUCUACUGAUGUAUGAUAUGGCUGUAACUAUGUGAUGUGGCUAUAAGGGUCCAGUCUAGCUGUUACUGGUUGUGCUAGUCAUACUGUAGUACACAGUUACAGUGUCACUGAUGUAAAUAGUUGUGCUUAGAUAGAAUUAAAUUCAGCACGUUUGCUUUUGGUCCAGACAGAUAGUUUGAGAGCUAUUGGACUUUAUAGUAUACAACUGAAGAACGUAUACAGUUGUAUAAUGAUUUAUUGGUGUGCACUUGAAGAGUCAUGACAAAGUUCUAAGAUACAAAAAUAGGCAAGGUUUAUUCUAAUAGAAAAACUGCUGCGUCAUUAGCAAGAACAGAAGAGGAAAGUCUUCCUGGGCAAUCCACAUGGAGAAUAAGAUACCAUUUCAGGAAACAUUCAGGAAGAGUAUAGUCUCACAUGAUUAGAUGUAAGCAAAAAAGAAACUCAAAAUGUUCACAAGAGUUCUGAGCUAAGAAAUUUUUUAAAAUAGCAAUAACAAUGGCAAAUGAUUGGAAGCAGCAGAUCUGAUGUAAAAAUUUGUAUUGAACUUUUAAAAAUGUAUUAUUGUUAUUAAAAGUAUUAGCUUUUAAAGUUUGAAGUAUUUUAAAGUAUUUAUUCUUGUAGACAUUGUUAAUAAAAGUUUUUUUUAUUAUUAUUUUACUGCA